rnacentral:rRNA from 1 species
AACGAACGCUGGCGGCAGGCUUAACACAUGCAAGUCGAACGCGUCCUUCGGGGUGAGUGGCAGACGGGUGAGUAACGCGUGGGAACGUGCCCUUCAGUUCGGGAUAACCCAGGGAAACUUGGGCUAAUACUGGAUACGUGCGAGAGCAGAAAGAUUUAUCGCUGAAGGAUCGGCCCGCGUCUGAUUAGCUAGUUUGUGGGGUAAUGGCCCACCAAGGCGACGAUCAGUAGCUGGUCUGAGAGGAUGAUCAGCCACAUUGGGACUGAGACACGGCCCAAACUCCUACGGGAGGCAGCAGUGGGGAAUAUUGGACAAUGGGCGCAAGCCUGAUCCAGCCAUGCCGCGUGAGUGAUGAAGGCCUUAGGGUUGUAAAGCUCUUUCGUCCGGGACGAUAAUGACGGUACCGGAAGAAGAAGCCCCGGCUAACUUCGUGCCAGCCGCCGCCGUAA